rnacentral:rRNA from 1 species
UACGUAGGGUGCAAGCGUUGUCCGGAAUUAUUGGGCGUAAAGAGCUCGUAGGCGGUUUGUUGCGUCGGCUGUGAAAUCCCGAGGCUCAACCUCGGGUCUGCAGUCGAUACGAGCAAACUAGAGUGUUGCAGGGGAGACUGGGAUUCCUGGUGUAGCGGUGGAAUGCGCAGAUAUCAGGAGGAACACCGAUGGCGAAGGCAGAUCUCUGGGCCGUAACUGACGCUGAGGAGCGAAAGCGUGGGGAGCGAACAGG